UGACACGUAGGCACCAAGCGUUAUCCGGAUUUAUUGGGCGUAAAGAGCUCGUAGGCGGCUCGGUAAGUCGGGUGUGAAAACUCUGGGCUCAACCCAGAGAGGCCACCCGAUACUGCCGUGGCUAGAGUACGGUAGGGGAGCGGGGAAUUCCUGGUGUAGCGGUGAAAUGCGCAGAUAUCAGGAGGAACACCAGCGGCGAAGGCGCCGCUCUGAGCCGUUACUGACGCUGAGGAGCGAAAGCAUGGGUAGCAAACAGGAUUAGAUACCCUGGUAGUCCAUGCCGUAAACGUUGGGCACUAGGUGUGGGUCUCAACCAACGAGAUCCGCGCCGUCGCUAACGCAUUAAGUGCCCCGCCUGGGGAGUACGGUCGCAAGACUA
rnacentral:rRNA from 1 species